rnacentral:rRNA from 1 species
ACGAACGCUGGCGGCAUGCCUAACACAUGCAAGUCGAACGAGGCCUUCGGGUCUAGUGGCGCACGGGUGCGUAACGCGUGGGAACCUGCCCUUAGGUUCGGAAUAACUCCCCGAAAGGGGUGCUAAUACCGGAUAAUGUCUUCGGACCAAAGAUUUAUCGCCUUUGGAUGGGCCCGCGUUGGAUUAGCUAGUUGGUAGGGUAAAAGCCUACCAAGGCGACGAUCCAUAGCUGGUCUGAGAGGAUGAUCAGCCACACUGGGACUGAGACACGGCCCAGACUCCUGCGGGAGGCAGCAGUGGGGAAUAUUGGACAAUGGGCGAAAGCCUGAUCCAGCAAUGCCGCGUGAGUGAUGAAGGCCUUAGGGUUGUAAAGCUCUUUUACCCGGGAUGAUAAUGACAGUACCGGGAGAAUAAGCUCCGGCUAACUCCGUG